UAACUAUUUUGCCUUAUACAUUUCAGUUAUGGCUUUUAUUGUGAUAAAGAGUGCUGCCAGCAUAAUAUCCUGCUGCUAAAAUAAGGCUAAAGAAGCCUCGAAUGGCCAUCACUAGUUAUCGUCACCUAUAUUGAUAGAUACUGUAUCUAUGUCAUUCACAAAUGGCUAAUUAGCUGUUAAAAUGGCCAGUGGCAAAAGAGGAUUUGUUCAGGAUAGACAAAAACCUUGCUGGCUACAACAUUGAGUAGAUACGUUAUGGGAAGCCUAAAAUGAAACUGUUUACUAAAUUGUAAUUAUUUCUGGUGCAUUUUCGAAUUAAGUCUCAGGAUUUGUUCAGGAUAGACAAAAACCUUGCUGGCUACAACAUUGAGUAGAUAUGUUAUGGAAAGCCUAAAAUGAAACUGUUUACUAAAUUGUAACUAUUUCUGGUGCAUUUUCGAAUUAUGUCUCAGGAAUUGUUCAGGAUAGAGAAACACUUCGCUGGCUACACGAUUCUCUCGUCUUUUCACUUGAUGGAAAAGUCAGUUAUCAUCAUCUAUAUUGAUACAGUAGUUAUUGUAUCAAGGUCAUUCACGAAUGGCUAAUAAGCUUUUAAAACGGCCAGUUGCAAAAGCCAUAAAGUUUAUAGAUGCUAUUUGUGGUGGAGGUAAACUUAGUAAGAAACGUUACUCAGUUAACACAAUAUAAUGGCGUCUAGCGACAUAUUACUUGCUAAUAAGCUUUUAAAACAGCCGGGGCAAAAGUCAUACAGUUCAUAGAUACUAUUUGUGGUGGAGGUAAACUUAAUAAGAAACGUUACUUAGUUUAACGCUAGUUAAUGGUGUCUAACAAAAUAUUCAAACUUGUUAAUUAGUGAAAAUAAUAUAAUGUGAAGAGGCUAUACUAAUGCCUGAGAUGUGUGCAGUUUGGUGGCGUAGUGAUGAACGACAAUGCCUUUCACGAGGGUGACCCAGGUUUGAUUCUCGAGAUGGCAGCCACGAUUAGCACAUUCUAUUGCGGGCCGGCUGAACUAGGCUUGCCUGGUUUGUUGUUCUCCCCUAUAUCAAGAUGUCCAAUUCGUGUUUAAGGCCCUGCUUUAUUGUGUCAACUUGGGAGAGUCUAAACUAGAUGUGUCCUCCAAAGCACAUCUGAUGCCAUUUUGCUUGUCAAGUUGCUCUCUCAACCUGGAAGUGUUCUCUGGAAUCCUUAUGCGCUGGAGGAGCACAUUCUCUGGCCGUGAUUGAGCUCACAGAGUCCCGAGGCACCCCAGGGAGUAGCUAGACCCCGACAAGGCAAGGCAACCAUAUUCAAUGACUAAACCUCAACCUUGGAUGGUACUGGCCAACUGCACAACCCCUGCUGGAUCCUGGGAUAAUCUGCAAGCAGGAUUUGAACCCUGGUCUUGUAAUGACACUACGUUCUUACAGUGAUUAAAGGGCAAAUAAGAGAAACAGAGGGGAAGCGUGCAGCCGGUCCGGGAAGAAGAUGAACCAGGCUAGGGGGUUGAAGAACCAAUGCGCAUUAACUGGACCCUCAGGGCUCAGCUUGCUUUGUGGGCCGUCCACAACGCAAUCCCUUCAACACCUACAUACCAGCAGAUGGCGAAUACAUUAGUAUAGAGAAAUUGAUACUCGUGGCAACAUCUAGGCUCCUUCAGAAUCCCAGUGGUAUCCUCUACUGUGUAGACCCACCUUUUGUGAAACAUCCCAUCACAAUGUGGAAUAAUUUGAAUUUGAAUUUACUUUACCUGUUGUAUGAUGAUUUCGUUUUUAUGUUGGAUGUAGUCUGUGGAAAGUGUCCAUAGGGAUGUGUUAGUCUAUCACCUCGGUUUUUGGUUUGCUGGUCUGUAGAAAUGUAGUCCUGCCCUGUUACCACCCGAACUAAAGACAAUGUUUGAUUUGCUAGCACACCAGAAGCACUUUUAGCUAAUUGGGAGGUAAUAUAAUAUGUUUGGUACAAUGUGGUUAUUGUACAGUUUGUCAUUUUGUGCCUGUUAUGGGCAGGGAUGAACCAGUACGAAAAUUAUUGUCAAAUACCGAUAGCCAAUAUUAUUUUAACACAAUCAGCUGAUGUUGAUACCAAUACAGAUGUUUUGUCAUGUUGUUACCUGUGUGCCCUGACAUGCAAUAAACAAAAAGGCAGCUGAUCAUGGC
ensembl:lncRNA